rnacentral:rRNA from 1 species
GUAAUAAUGUCCACACGAGGGCUUUACUGUCUCUUACUUCCAAUCCGUGAAAUUGACCUUCCCGUGAAGAGGCGGGAAUAUGACAAUAAGACGAGAAGACCCUAUGGAGCUUUAAUUAACCGACCCAAAGAGAUCUUGAUAAUCAACCGACAGGGAUAACAUACCUCUACCAUGGGCCGACAAUUUAGGUUGGGGUGACCUCGGAGAAUAAAACAACCUCCGAGUGAUUUAAAUCUAGACUAACUAGUCGAAAGUACUACAUCACUUAUUGAUCCAAAAACUUGAUCAACGGAACAAGUUACCCUAGGGAUAACAGCGCAAUCCUAUUUUAGAGUCCAUAUCGACAAUAGGGUUUACGACCUCCAUGUUGGA